UUUAGGCAGUACCCUCUUCAAGCUAAACUUGCAGUAGCAGGUUUUCAAGGCUGCCCUCAAGAUUUGUCAGCUUUAAGGUGCAAAGAGCCCUUGGCCAUACGUGUGAAAUCAAAUCUGCUGGUUCCUGGGUGCUGCUCAGGAUGUGCCGAAGAGGCUUUUGUGUCAGAGGUCACAAAUUACUGCUGGAGGGAGCAGUAACUUUCCAUUUUCGAUGUAAACAUGUUCCCUCCUGUCAGUGUGCGCAGGGAGAGGGACACCUCCUGUUUGUGUUUGUCUCUGCUUACAUCCACACAGCCUGGCUCGUCUCCCUCAAGGUUUUGCUGUUGUUGGCCUGUUCUGGAUCCAAUCCUAUGGGAUAUAAAUUCCUGUGAAAAUGAAUGAGCUGUCUGGAUUCCAGUGCAGGAUUGAGACUUCAUGCUGUAGAUGGAUCAAUAUGGUGUAAAUCGAUCAAUACAGGCAAUCAAGUGAGUCAGACAAGGUUUAUGCUUAAUACACUCCUGCUGUCAUCCCUCAUUGUGCUCAGGUUUGUGUAACUCAAAAUCCUCCCAACCAUAUGGCUUUGCUGGGUCCUCUCCAUCCUUUCACACUUCAUACCAUUGCUGGGUUUUUUAGGAGGUGGUAGUUGUGCAGUAGUAAUUAAGCUGGAAAUACUUUUUAUUUUUUUUUUCCCCUCUUGAGUUUUGUUACUGAACGUGGAUCUGUUUUUGGUAUCAAGCAGUGUUUGGGCCAUUCUGAGCUUCUCCCACACGUUGGUGUGGGUGUAACAGGGGGCUCAGUGGUGGCAAUAUGGGAGAGAUGAGGUGGUCACAAGGCCAGUGAGGGGUCAGGACCUGUCUCUCCCUCUCCUUUUCCUUGUCACCCUGCACUGCCAGGCUGGGAGCUGCUCUCACCUGGCCAGUCUGACCUGAUUUGGCACCUACUCUGCUUCCUUCAGGAAUAGGGCAGACAGCCAGCUGUCUUAACUCGGGAAAUUGUUUCUUUUCUCUGUAGGAAUAGAACUUUCGGAGGAAAACAAAAUUUUGAGAACAAAACCCUUUAUAAAAAUGCAUUUCCCCUUCCCAAACCCUCCCACCUCACGGCUGACUCACGGGCAGGCACUUCAGUAACAAAUAGCACCUUUUGGUUUUUUUGUCCUUCAGAUAGAUUUCCAAGCUCUAACCACUUUUAAACUACCAUACACCUUUUUUUUUUCUUUUCUAAUUCUCCCAAAGAUUUACUGACACAUGCUCUGUCAGCUUAGUUUUCCUCUCUUCCUGUUGGCCUCCCCUCCAAUUCCACGCCCAAAUACGCACACAGAAAUUAUCUCAUGAUUCAGGACAAUACACAGCUCUUCAGAUCUGCCAUGAACCAUCUGCAUGACCUUGGGCAGUCUGCUACUGUAUUGCAAAUUCUCCACUGUGAGGCUGCACAUGAUUUUCAGUUGAGAAGAAAUGUUAGGGGUGACCACACUCAAAUUUGGGCUGUGCUGGCUUGGCUUUGGCUCCAGUUGUGAGCACGGGCGACUGAUCUGAGAAACGUGUGGCAGCAAUUUAUUACAAGGAUUUAUACUGAGCUCUGCUGGCCUGUCUGGCCAGGCACAUAUGUCAUGCAGAAGUAUGUUUUCUUCCUCAGAUGGUGCUGCUCUGCCUCAGCCUGUGCUCGAGCCCCUCAUUGCUCUGGUUUGCUUGACUGACUCAUUUAUCCACCCCUUUCAAGCCUUGCAAAUGACUUUUCUCUCCAAAUUCUUCUCUUUUCACUGGAGACAAGGCACACAGCUUCUUCCCACGUAAAUCACAUUCCAAAACUUUGAUGUCAUCUUUAUUUUCCUCUCUCGAGACUCCUGAGGAACCCUGCACAGGAUGAUUACUUUCAUCUUAUCUCUUCUCUGGGAAAGACCAGAGCAGGGCUGCUUUGCUGGACCCUUUGGCAUCAAUAACAGCACACCUCAAAGAGCAGCAUCUAUUAUGGUCUGCCAGGUCCCACCUGGGCUGAAGGAAGGUUUUCACUAAUAACACUGUUGUUUGAUUUUGUUUUUGUUUUUUUCUGAAGACAACAGGGAGAAACUGGGAAAGGAUGAGGAUUCAGCAGUGUGGUUUUAUCAUUAACACAGCUGAUAUGAGAACUGUGGCAUCAAACCCAAAGAAUUUCAGCAAAGCCUCAAACGUGAUGUUUUUCAAUGUUUCCUGGGUGUUUACUCUUUAGGUUCAUACUGAGGUGCUUUAAUAAAAGCAGACUGACUUCCAGAGGUUUGAGUGACCUGGCCUUCCUGUUGUCUCUUCCAAGUUAUUAAAAUAAAACCCUUACAGCUAUUUUGUUGAGAUGUGAAAGGGUAUUUGUGGUGUGGUUGCUGGAGUCCUGCUGUCUUAUGAACCACCCUGAGGAUGGUGAGAAUCCCUCUAGCUGUGUGGGGCAUCUGAAGUGAUCUAUUUAUAAUUUUCUUACCUUGACAAGAUGCAGGGAGUGACUCAAAUAUGUCCCAUCCUUAUGGAAAUUAAUUGUGUUAAUGGGAUCAUUAGAAUUUAGAGUAGUGUCAACAAACUGGUUUUUGCAGCUAAUGAUGGUUCUUGGGGAGGUUAUGUCAUAAGGAAGGCGGAGAACCUGGUCAUCUAUAUAUAUGUGAUCAGCCCUGAGCCCUUUCUUUGGGUUUCAUUGAGCAAUGCUCUAGUAGAGUCAACGUAGGCAAA
rnacentral:lncRNA from 1 species